rnacentral:rRNA from 1 species
GACGAACGCUGGCGGCGUGCUUAACACAUGCAAGUCGAGCGAUGAAGCACCUUCGGGUGUGAAUUAGCGGCGAACGGGUGAGGAACACGUGAAGAAUCUGCCUUCAACUCUGGGAUAACUCCGGGAAACCGGGGCUAAUACCGGAUAUGAGCCUUGAUCGCAUGAUCGGGGCUGGAAAGUUUUUCGGUUGAAGAUGACUUCGCGGCCUAUCAGCUUGUUGGUGAGGUAACGGCUCACCAAGGCGACGACGGGUAGCCGGCCUGAGAGGGCGACCGGCCACACUGGGACUGAGACACGGCCCAGACUCCUACGGGAGGCAGCAGUGGGGAAUAUUGGGCAAUGGAGGAAACUCUGACCCAGCGACGCCGCGUGAGGGAUGAAGGCCUUCGGGUUGUAAACCUCUUUCAGUAGGGAAGAAGCGAAAGUGACGGUACCUACAGAAGAAGCACCGGCUAACUAUGUGCCAGCAGCCGCAGUAA